rnacentral:rRNA from 1 species
AACGAACGCUGGCGGCAUGCCUAACACAUGCAAGUCGAACGAGAUCUUCGGGUCUAGUGGCGCACGGGUGCGUAACGCGUGGGAAUCUGCCCUUUGGUUCGGAAUAACAGUUGGAAACGACUGCUAAUACCGGAUGAUGACGAAAGUCCAAAGAUUUAUCGCCAGAGGAUGAGCCCGCGUAGGAUUAGCUAGUUGAUGUGGUAAAGGCGCACCAAGGCGACGAUCCUUAGCUGGUCUGAGAGGGUGAUCAGCCACACUGGGACUGAGACACGGCCCAGACUCCUACGGGAGGCAGCAGUGGGGAAUAUUGGACAAUGGGCGAAAGCCUGACCCAGCAAUGCCGCGUGAGUGAUGAAGGCCUUAGGGUUGUAAAGCUCUUUUACCCGGGAUGAUAAUGACAGUACCGGGAGAAUAAGCUCCGGCUGACUCCGUGCCAGCCGCCGCCGUAA